AUUGAACGCUGGCGGCAUGCCUUACACAUGCAAGUCGAACGGCAGCACGGGUGCUUGCACCUGGUGGCGAGUGGCGAACGGGUGAGUAAUACAUCGGAACGUACCUUAUCGUGGGGGAUAACGCAGCGAAAGCUGUGCUAAUACCGCAUACGCCCUGAGGGGGAAAGCGGGGGAUCGCAAGACCUCGCGCGAUUAGAGCGGCCGAUGCCUGAUUAGCUAGUUGGUGGGGUAAAAGCCCACCAAGGCGACGAUCAGUAGCUGGUCUGAGAGGACGAUCAGCCACACUGGGACUGAGACACGGCCCAGACUCCUACGGGAGGCAGCAGUGGGGAAUUUUGGACAAUGGGGGCAACCCUGAUCCAGCAAUGCCGCGUGAGUGAAGAAGGCCUUCAGGUUGUAAAGCUCUUUUGUCAGGGAAGAAACACCGGCUCUAACACAGUCCGGGAAUGACGGUACCUGAAGAAUAAGUACCGGCUAACUACGUGCCAGCCGCCGCCGUAA
rnacentral:rRNA from 1 species